rnacentral:rRNA from 1 species
UACAGAGGUCUCAAGCGUUGUUCGGAUUCAUUGGGCGUAAAGGGUGCGUAGGCGGCGCGGUAAGUCGGGUGUGAAAUUUCGAGGCUUAACUUCGAAACUGCAUUCGAUACUGCCGUGCUCGAGGACUGGAGAGGAGACUGGAAUUUACGGUGUAGCGGUGAAAUGCGUAGAUAUCGUAAGGAAGACCAGUGGCGAAGGCGGGUCUCUGGACAGUUCCUGACGCUGAGGCGCGAAAGCGUGGGGAGCGAACAGG